UGCUGGAACACUGGCUCUCGGUGUAACGGAGCUGUUACCUGGAGAUGUUGAGGUCAGUACGGUUGAGAGCAUAGUUCUUAAACUGAAGAAGGAAACCUGUUGAUAUACAGGAAAAGAUGAUGUAUCACUGAAAUGUGCUUCUUAAUAGAUGGAAAGGAAAAUUCCAAAACACGUGAGCGAAUAUUUGCUGGGAAAUUACUUGGCUGGAACCUGACAAUCUUACCCAGGUAUGUGUUGGGCUAGUACUUUGAUUCAGUAUGUUUAGUCCAUAAUGUAGGCUUAAGUGAAUUUUUUUUUUUUGUCUUUGAACAGCAUCCGGGAGGUUGAUGAAUAAUAACGGAGCUAUAAAUGUCACUGACAAGCAACCUUGCUUUAAAUGAGGGGUCGCUGUCUGCCCAUGGAAAGAGGCCAGUUUGCAGUAACCUUCCUGAGGUAUAACCCAUUUCUGGCUAAUUCCACGAGAUUUACUUGUAUGAAAAAAGGAAAAGCUCUUCAUUUUACUGACAUGGGAAGGAAACCUACAAAUGAAGACAAUAUAUUGAUUUUUAUUUUUGUAAACAGAUU
rnacentral:lncRNA from 1 species